ACGAACGCUGGCGGCAUGCCUAACACAUGCCAGUCGCACGAAGCCUUCGGGCUUAGUGGCGCACGGGUGCGUAACGCGUGGGAAUCUGCCCCUUGCUUCGGAAUAACAGUUAGAAAUGACUGCUAAUACCGGAUGAAGUCUUCGGACCAAAGAUUUAUCGGCAAGGGAUGAGCCCGCGUAGGAUUAGGUAGUUGGUGGGGUAAAGGCCUACCAAGCCGACGAUCCUUAGCUGGUCUGAGAGGAUGAUCAGCCACACUGGGACUGAGACACGGCCCAGACUCCUACGGGAGGCAGCAGUGGGGAAUAUUGGACAAUGGACGCAAGUCUGAUCCAGCAAUGCCGCGUGAGUGAUGAAGGCCUUAGGGUUGUAAAGCUCUUUUACCAGGGAUGAUAAUGACAGUACCUGGAGAAUAAGCUCCGGCUAACUCCGUG
rnacentral:rRNA from 1 species